rnacentral:rRNA from 1 species
GACGAACGCUGGCGGCGUGCUUAACACAUGCAAGUCGAACGGGCCUUGUUCUUCGGAGCGAGGUUAGUGGCGAACGGGUGAGUAACACGUGGGUAAUCUGUCCUGUACUUUGGGAUAAGCCUGGGAAACUGGGUCUAAUACCGAAUAUUCACUUUGCCUCGCAUGGGGUGGGGUGGAAAGUCUUCGGGCGGUAUGGGGUGGGCCCGCGGCCUAUCAGCUUGUUGGUGCGGUAAUGGCGUACCAAGGCGGCGACGGGUAGCCGGCCUGAGAGGGCGAC